rnacentral:lncRNA from 1 species
CUUGGACCUCCAGCCAUCACACCUUUGUGCUGUCCCCCACUGCAUCCUAUAACAAGUGUUGUGUUCAAUCACGGGCUUCCCACUCCAAUCACCCCUCAAUCGUGGAUUAAAAUGCAAAAUCCUUGGCGGGUCCUCUCCAUCAACAGUCUUCAGCCCCUGUAAUUCCAUCAUAAACUGUGAAACCAUCGUGGAUUAAAAUGCAAAAUCCUAGGCGGGUCCUCUCCAUCAACAGUCUUCAGCCCCUGUAAUUCCAUCAUAAACUGUGAAACCAUCAAGAAUUGUCCAUCCUUCAGCAAAGAU